AUUGAACGCUGGCGGCAUGCUUUACACAUGCAAGUCGAACGGUAACAGCACUUCGGUGGCUGACGAGUGGCGAACGGGUGAGUAAUACAUCGGAACGUGCCUAGUAGUGGGGGAUAACUACUCGAAAGAGUAGCUAAUACCGCAUGAGAUCUAAGGAUGAAAACAGGGGACCUUCGGGCCUUCCGCCACUAUAGCGGCCGAUGGCAGAUUAGGUAGUUGGUGGGAUAAAAGCUUACCAAGCCGACGAUCUGUAGCUGGUCUGAGAGGACGACCAGCCACACUGGAACUGAGACACGGCCCAGACUCCUACGGGAGGCAGCAGUAGGGAAUUUUGGACAAUGGGCGCAAGCCUGAUCCAGCAAUGCCGCGUGCAGGAUGAAGGCCUUCGGGUUGUAAAAUGCUUUUGUUCGGAACGAAAAGACCUCUAAUAAUACAGGAGGGUCAUGACGGUACCGUAAGAAUAAGCAACGGCUAACUACGUG
rnacentral:rRNA from 1 species